rnacentral:rRNA from 1 species
UACGUAGGGUGCGAGCGUUAAUCGGAAUUACUGGGCGUAAAGCGUGCGCAGGCGGUUCGUUGUGUCGGCGGUGAAAGCCCCGGGCUCAACCUGGGAAUGGCCGUUGAAACUGGCGAACUGGAGUGUGGCAGAGGGGGGUGGAAUUCCGCGUGUAGCAGUGAAAUGCGUAGAGAUGCGGAGGAACACCGAUGGCGAAGGCAGCCCCCCUGGGCUGACACUGACGCUGAUGCGCGAAAGCUAGGGGAGCGAACGGG